GAACAUACAUUGAAGGAAUGAGUACACAUUAGCCCAUUCACAGAGACAUGCUUUCUUGGCUGGAAAGAGCAUGAUUGAAGAAAUGUGGAAUGCUAUUCUGGAGUAGCAAUUAAAAGGUUGCCGUGCCCCAGCGUUAAAGGGACUGAAGUGAUGAUAACAAGGUUACUCGUUAUCAUAAUGAGGGUGGUACCGCGUGAACAGACAUCUCGUCCCUUUU
rnacentral:ncRNA from 1 species